rnacentral:rRNA from 1 species
CCUACGGGAGGCAGCAGUGGGGAAUAUUGCACAAUGGGGGGAACCCUGAUGCAGCGACGCCGCGUGGGUGAGGAAGUACUUCGGUAUGUAAAGCCCUAUCAGCAGGGAAGAAAAUGACGGUACCUGACUAAGAAGCCCCGGCUAACUACGUGCCAGCAGCCGCGGUAAUACGUAGGGGGCAAGCGUUAUCCGGAUUUACUGGGUGUAAAGGGAGCGUAGACGGCGUGCCAAGUCUGAUGUGAAAGGCCGGGGCUCAACCCCGGGACUGCAUUGGAAACUGGCAUGCUGGAGUGCAGGAGGGGCGAGCGGAAUUCCUAGUGUAGCGGUGAAAUGCGUAGAUAUUAGGAGGAACACCGGUGGCGAAGGCGGCUUGCUGGACGGUAACUGACGUUGAGGCUCGAAAGCGUGGGGAGCAAACAGGAUUAGAUACCCGUGUAGUC